rnacentral:lncRNA from 1 species
GAUGAGAUGCGGAUGGGCUUCCCGUGCAGCUUGUGCCAGUUCAGGUGGCUCAUGGCCAGCUGGGCCUGGUUGCCGUCCGCCAUCUGAACCAGAGCGUUCUCCUUCUUAUUGAACGGGAUCUUCACGCGCUGCACGUCCCCGUAGACGCUGAAAAGAAUAAAGAGGCUUUGGGGUGUGACUCUCUCUGGGUUGAGGCCGCUGACCAGCAAGACAGAAUUUCCUGUCCCCGCCAGGCCCAGGAUGGCGAUCUG